rnacentral:lncRNA from 1 species
UUUUUUUUUUCAUUUUGGUGUUGCUUUCUCCUAAUGUUCUAAUUAGGCUCAUAAUUAAUAGUCAGUGAAAAUCCAACUACAAAAGGACAAAAAGCACAAAAGAUCAAAUUGCAAUUCUCAUUAGAUGAUAUAUUUUGCUGCCUCUACUCAGACUUGCUGAAAUCACCUUUAUCAGUAUAAUGGACUGAGUGAUCCUCCAAUCAGAGCAUUUUAGUUGAUAAUUGGACAGACCUUCCUUUGGCCUGGGGAAGAUGCCGAGCAUUGACCAUUAUCAGAUCUUAUGGGAAUCUACCUGGAAAGCAAUAAGCACCUGAAAAACAGAAAAGGUUCACCGUGGCAACAAGGAAUUCUAACAGCCCUAAGUGAAAAUGCCUUUCUCUACUCAAUAAUGCAGCUCUACUACUUCAAAAUCAUUGGUUCCGAAAAAGAUCAUUCAACAUAAACUGACAGAAGAGAAACAUCUCAGCCACAAUAAUGAUGAAAGUUUUAUUAUAUGUCUUACCAAAACUUCGACAUUGAAAUGAGGUUUUGACUAUGAGAUCACCAAGCUGUGAUCUAGCAAGAAACAGAAAUAAAUGUCCUGGCCAAGAUUCCAUGGCCAAUGUGAAGCAGAUAAUAGAAGCAAUUAUUUGACAAAUUCAAGCCAAAAGACAUACUAGAGUAACAAGUCUGCUCCCCGCUAAUGGUGCUCUCUGUUAGACAACCACAAUUAUGUGUCAUUGGAGCAACAAUGCCUUAAACACUUCUUUUUCCCAUGGGUCUUAAUUUCAGUUCUUUAUGAGAAAAACACUUGCUUUCUGAUAAUUUUCAAUAUUGAGUAGCCAUUCCAAAUUCAAUUUUAGGGAUGGCUUUAGGAGAGUAAAAUCAUUUUUUUAAUACACAAAAUCAACUUAUUUGCAACACAGCCCUGUCCCCAUCACUUCCAUACAGCAUAGGAGUAGGAAAGGUGCAAGCACAAUGUUUCUAUCUUUUUUUUAAAGGGCCAUACCUGUGGCAUAUGGAAGUUCCCAGGCUAGGGGUCAAAGUGUAGCUACAGCUGCCAGCCUACACCACAGCCACAACAACGCCAGGUUCGAGCUAUGUCUGCAACCUAUACCACAGCUCAUGGCAAUGCCAGAUCCUUUGACUCACUGAGCGAGGCCAGGGAUUUAACCUGCAUCCUCAUGGAUACUAGUCAGAUUUGUUUCAACUGCGCCAAAACGGGAACUCCCUCUAUCAUUUUUUUUUUAAACUUCUGAUGGAGCCUAAAGAAAGUUGGCCAGAUAUUAUCCUUGAAGUUGAGGCCAAGGUAUGUUCAAAGGAAAAUAUCUUUUGCUUAUGUUUCACUUUUGAUCUGGUGCAUGGCUAAUUUGGUGCUGGUAAGAGGAAAUGUACUAAACUGUAUUAUUGUAAUAACAAGUUAUAAAACUUAUUUCAAACUGGCUUAAGCCAUGUAAAGUUUCCAUGGCUAGAAACUUAUAACAUGUUUUGACCCCUGCCCCAGCAUGACAUCCCAACUUGUCUCUGUUCUUCGUGAUGGCUUUGUUUUCUUCUCAGCUUUAUUGAGAAAUAAUUAUAUAUCACAGUGUGUAAGUUUAAGGAAUACAAGUGAUGAUUUGAUGUACAUAUAUGCAAAAUGAUUACCACAAUAAAUUUUGUUAAUACAUCCAUCACUUCACAUAGUAACAAUGUUUAUGUGUAUGUGGCAAGAACUUUUAAGAUUUCCUCUCUUGGAAUUCCUGUUGUGGCUCAACUGGUUAAGAACUUGAUUUGGUCCCUAGCCUUGUUCAGUGGGUUA